UUAGUCAUGUUUGUAAUUAAUGUUAAAGAUAUAUUAAAAUUUCGGUUGCUGUUAUCAUAUAUUGUUGUCAUUGGCAAAUAGAUAAGAAAGUUGGUGUUUACAUUAAUUAUUUCAUAGGAUCACUCACGUAUAACCUAACAUAAUUUAGCUUUAUAUAUUGUUAUACAUAUAAACAUAUUUGUAUGUAUUUCGUAUCUCAAAUUUUGAUGUGCACCCACAUAUUUAUAUGUCAUCUCUACCAAAUCGCUGUUUAGUCAAGGAACUACAGAAUGAUAGAGAAUUGAUACUACCUAUUUCUGCAAUUUUUGUAAGAGAUUCAAAUUCUGGAUUGCUGAAAGUAGCGUCAAAGUUAGAUAUUGAAUCAAAUGUACCUGUCUAUAUGCAAUCAGGAGAAAAUGUCGUUGAAAUCGAAAUGCUUCGAUAUGCAGAAAGUAAAAAGCUUUACUAAGUCUUCAAAGAUCUUCUGGUAAAAAAAGAAUUCGAGUGGUGAAAAGAUUAAGUCUAACACCUUAUCAGAUAAAGCCUCGAAACAAAACCAUUGCUAAUGAGACAAAAAAGAAAUUUUCUGCUAAUAAAAUUGAAAAGACUACAAAAUUUGUCAAGACAACAGAAAAGACGUUCCAAGAGAAAUCAAUGGCAUCAAGUGAUUAUAAUAUUAUUAAAAUAUUUAAUGUUAACAAAGAGAAUAAUAAUAUUUUGAGUAAUGAACGUACAAAAGUAAGCAUUAUUAUAAGAUAUACAAUUCUGAUUUUUCAGCUUUCCAGUGAUCGUUGAUAAAAGUUUCAUUUGCUGAAAAUGAUUAAAUUUAUACUACUUAGGAGGAGAAUUUUUCAAAUUUAUUUACAGAAGUAGCUGCGAAAUACUUCUAUUGAUUAAUUUAUUGAAUUUAUUGAUUACUAGGCUAGCCAAAAAAAUAAUUUUUAUGAUUACAGUAUGUAUCAAAAAAGACAAAACUUUCUAAUAGUUAGAACUUUUUGAAUACUUAGUCAUUAUUAUAAAAGGCAUCAAAUUUGGAGAACAAGAUCGAAAAUCGAUCUGGAAUCCAUACGAAUUGAUCAAACAGAAAUGGCCCUGUAUUUUAAAUACUGAGAUCAACGUAACGUUGGAAAAAAUGCAGUUGAUCGUGAAUUGACAUCAUCCGUCGAACACUCACGCAGAUCAAUUCUUGAAAAUACUCCAAGAACUUCACUAUCACCUGGAUCAAAGACAAAUUCAAUAUCUCUACAACACACACGCACAUCAGUUCAUGAAAGUACUCCAAAGACUCCACCAUCACCUGGUUCAAGGAUAAGCUUAUCAUCUCUACAACAUAUUCGCAAAUCAGUUCAUGAAAAUACUCCGAGAACUCCACUAUCAUCUAGAUCAAGGAUAAGCUUAUCAUCUCAACAUUCUCGCAGAUCAGUUCUUGAGAGUACUCCAAAAACUCCACCAUCACCUGGUUCAAGGAUAAGCUUAUCAUCUCUACAACAUAUUCGCAGAUCAGUUCAUGAAAAUACUCCAAGAACACCACUAUUAUCUGGAUCAAGGAUAAACUCAUCAUCUCAACAGCAUACUCGCAGAUCAGUUCAUGAAAAUACUCCAAGAACUCCACUAUCAUCUGGGUCAAGGAUAAACUCAUCAUCUCAACAGCAUACUCGCAGAUCAGUUCAUGAAAAUACUCCAAGAACUCCACUAUCAUCUGAAUCAAGGAUAAAUUCAUCAUCUCAACAGCAUACUCGCAGAUCAGUUCAUGUAAGUCGACCAUAUGCUUCAAGAUCACGACAAUCUGCACCACAACAUUUCAAUAAUGCUCGAAGCUCGUCAUCUGAAUCUGGAGAUUCCUCUAGUUCAAUUCAUUCUUCUCGGUCCUCAAGUCCCAGUAGUCCAAGUGAUUUCAAUGACAUAGUUAAUAUGUCGCAAUUACAACAUGGCUUGAAAUUAUUCCGAAAAAAAAUAGUCUCGGAUGUAAAAAAAGUUCUCCUCAAAAAUAAUCUUGGGCGGCCAUUAACUGACAAUAAUGGGAAAGUCGAAAUUGAAGGAAUUUCUUUAGAUGCCAAAAACUUUUUAAGAGCUUUGUCGGCAAAAAAAAUGAGUCUGCGUGCGAGAAGAUUGAUGCGAGCCUAUUGGACAGAAAAUGAACGCGAUAGACUGAUGACUCGAAAAAAUAAAAAAUUUCCUAAUGCUUUAAUUGUCAGCUCUCGAAAUUACAAUGAUUUCAUCAACCUUUGUUAUGCUCUACAAAGAACAAGAUUUUUAAAGCAUACGAAGAAACAUAACCCUGAACAUAAUAUUUAUCGAUGGGUCACAGACUUCCUUAAAAACGAUAAAUUUGCUCGAAAGAAGCAGAACAAGAACUCUGAAAUAUUUCCUAACGGGCAGCGAAGAGCGAAAUCUAUUUAAAAAUAAUUCUAAAUUAUUUUUAUUUUCUUUAUUAAUAUUAUCAAAAACUUUCUCAUUUUUAUUGCUUUUAAAAAAAUUUUAUAAAACAACUAAUUUAUAAUUUAAUAAAAAUUUCAA